GUAGUCCACGCCCUAAACGAUGUACACUAGACUGAAGCGGCUCUGACGUCGUUUUGGUCGUAGAGAAAUUGAUAAGUGUACCGCCUGGGGAGUACGGUCGCAAGGCUAAAACUCAAAGGAAUUGACGGGGCUCACACAAGCGGUGGAGCAUGUUGCUUAAUUCGAAGCAACGCGAAGAACCUUACCUGGGUUUGACAUGCUUGGAUUAACUUCCUGAAAGGGAAGCCACACUCGCAAGAGUGGAACAAGCACAGGUGCUGCAUGGCUGUCGUCAGCUCGUGCUGUGAAGUGUCGGGUUAAG
rnacentral:rRNA from 1 species